rnacentral:rRNA from 1 species
AACGAACGCUGGCGGCAGGCCUAACACAUGCAAGUCGAACGAGAAGCCACCUUCGGGUGGUGGACAGUGGCAGACGGGUGAGUAACGCGUGGGAACGUGCCUUUCGGUUCGGGACAACCCAGGGAAACUUGGGCUAAUACCGGAUACGCCCUUCGGGGUAAAGGAUUCAUUGCCGAAACGAAUCGGCCCGCGUCGGAUUAGCUAGUUGGUGGGGUAAAGACCUACCAAGGCGACGAUCCGUAGCUGGUCUGAGAGGAUGACCAGCCACACUGGGAC